rnacentral:tRNA from 1 species
UCCCUGGUAGCUCAACGGUAGAGCAGGAUCCUGUUAAGAUCAAGGUUCGUGGUUCGAAUCCACGCCAGGGAGCCA